rnacentral:rRNA from 1 species
UACGGGGGGGGCAAGCGUUGUUCGGAAUUACUGGGCGUAAAGGGCUCGUAGGCGGCCAACUAAGUCAGACGUGAAAUCCCUCGGCUUAACCGGGGAACUGCGUCUGAUACUGGAUGGCUUGAGUUCGGGAGAGGGAUGCGGAAUUCCAGGUGUAGCGGUGAAAUGCGUAGAUAUCUGGAGGAACACCGGUGGCGAAGGCGGCAUCCUGGACCGAGACUGACGCUGAGGCACGAAAGCGUGGGGAUCAAACAGG